ensembl:lncRNA
GUUCAUAGGUUGGAGAUAAUGAUCAUAAAAAACAUUUUCAAACUAUGCACAUAAUGGUUUUGGAAUGUUUUGAAUAGUUUGAGGUAUUGUUAUUGUUAAGACAUUGUUAUUGUUAAUGUUGAAAUAAAAUGAACCACUCUCUUUACCGAUUUUUAAAUGUGGAAACUGGGUUAGAUCAUCAGAUUUUUGUAUGACUUGACUUGUGACUUGCUUGACCUGAGCAAUGACUUGACUUGUGACUUGCUUGAUUCUCACCACAGUGACUUGGGACUUGCUUGAGACUUGAAGGUUAUGACUUGAGACUUGCUUGUGACUUGCACAUGAAUGACUUACCCCCACCUCUGGAGGAAAGUACCCGAAUGCAUUGCCAUUUGGCUGGGAAACAAAUGCAUUGCCAUUUGGCUAGGAAAGCAUACCGUUUCUAGACCUUGCUUGACUUGUUUGCCUGACUCUCCUGAAAUCUCCUCUUUGCAACAAUAAUCUUGAUCUUUAAUCUUUAAUCUUGAUCUUUACUUCCAAGUCACAGGUGAAACUGGGACAAAGUAAUUGAUGGAUUAAACAGUACAAAAUACAUUAGGUGUCUGAUUAACAAAUGUUUUACUCAUAACAAAACAUAAUAUGUAGUGGUAAAAUAAAUAAACAUCUUCACAUAGGGACAAAGCUUGGCUUUGUUACAAUGACAAUGUGUGUUCAGUUACGCCCCAGGCAAAACUCCCUUUUCUUUUUAAGUUCUCUUGUCGCCGCCCCACUUCCCAAGAAAAACAAGCUUGGUACGCCCGUGGCCAAAACCGCCCCUGACCGUGUGUCAUUAUAUAUUAAGGUAAUCAUGUUCUCCAAGAGCUGGAACACAGCCAGGAGAUCCCUAAACCCUCAUCCGUGUACCAGGUAUCGCAUGGUUGCAAGGCAGCUUAGUGGGACAAGGAUUUGGACGGGGUCAACAGCCAGAGAGAAGAGGAAGAGGAGGGAGGCUGUGUUGGGAAAAAUAACCUGCUGAGUACAUCACAUGUACAUUAUAAAUAUAGCUAACUCCUACCCUAGCUUAAUGAGCACAUCACAUGGCAGUUACCUUACAAUAUAGUCAACUUUUAACACAUAACACAUACAUGAGAAUAUAGUCAGGUCAAGGCCGGAGCCGAAGGCCCCAUUUCCCAGGCUGGCAGAUGGUGGACACUCAGACAAUGCACCAGUCAUCCUCAAGAACGGGAGAGCCACAUUAAUUUAUCACACAGGAGACACUUUGAAGCUCUCCCCCGUUACCUGCCCAUACCAAGGGCCUGAGAGCCACAUUCAAUUAUCACACACGAGACAUUUCGGGGGGGGCACUCCCCGGUUUAAUUUAUCACAUAGGAGACAUUUUGAGAGCUCUUCCCCGUUAGGAGGAACCAAGAGAUACCCCUGCCCACACCAGGGCCUGAGAAGCCACAUUUCGGGGGGGCACUCCCCGGUUUAAUUUAUCACACCCAAGACACGAGGAGCUCUCCCCCGUUAGGAGGCAUACACAGCAGGGCCUGGGAGCCAAGGCCAAGCAAAAACACACAGAACCACACACACCUCAAACGCACACACCUCAUCAGGAGGAAGAUACAGUAUAAGACUGUAUCACACAGAGACUCUUCACCUUCUUCUGAAGCAGACCUUCCACGGAGGCGAAGCUUCGGACGAACCAUCAGCGCUGAUUAGGGACUUAGACAUAUUCGAU